rnacentral:rRNA from 1 species
AGAGUUUGAUCCUGGCUCAGAUUGAACGCUGGCGGCAUGCCUACACAUGCAAGUCGAACGGCAGCGCGGGGCAACCUGGCGGCGAGUGGCGAACGGGUGAGUAAUAUAUCGGAACGUACCCUGGAGUGGGGGAUAACGUAGCGAAAGUUACGCUAAUACCGCAUAACACCGAGAGGUCAAAGGGGGCUCGCAAGAUCUUCCGCCGCAGGAGGGGUCCGCGUCCGAUUAGCUAGUUGGUGGGGUAAUGGCCUACCAAGGCGACGAUCGGUAGCCGGCCUGAGAGGGUGAUCGGCCACACUGGAACUGAGACACGGUCCACACUCCUACGGGAGGCAGCAGUGGGGUUUUUUGCGCAAUGGGCUAACGCCUGACGCAGCAACGCCGCGUGGAGGAUGAAGGUCUUUGGAUUGUAAACUCCUGUCAGCAGGGAAAAAGCGACCUGACCUAAUACGUCAGGGUGUUGAUUGUACCUGCAGAGGAAGCCCCGGCUAUCUCUGUGCCAGCAGCCGCGGUAAUACAGAGGGGGCAAGCGCCACUCAGAAU